AUCUUUGUUUUACUCUUUGGGGUGCUUACUAUAUGCAUAUAUUAACUUCAAAAAUACAUAUGUUUCUAUAUUCCUGAGGUUCAGAAGCUGGCAGGCAAUGAUCCUUUUACUACUUAGCAGAGCGUUAUUACUUUUCUAAGUCAGCUGCGGGCUAUGCGCUAGUAAUGAAAGUAGAACAGUCAUGCACCAGCUCACCCCCAAGAAAUGUUUUACUUGGACCAAGAUUUCCAUGGUCACUAUCAAGCUAAAAGCCCUCACCUAAUCCCCUUCAGAUGCAGCUAACCGGUGAAGUAUGGACGCAUAGGAAACAGAAAGGAAAAAAUAUUAUAUGAGAUCAUUAAUAUGUGGAAUCUAAUAAAGAUGAUACAAAGGAAUUUAUUCACGAAACAGAAACAUACUCAAAGAUUUCAAAACCAAACCUAGGUAGUUCACAUCGUGGCUCAGCAGAAAGAAUCUGACUAGCAUCUAUGAGGACAAGGGUUCAAUCCCUGGCCUCACUCAACGGAUCCAGCAUUGCUAUGAGCUGUGGCGUAGGUGGCAGAUGCAGCUUGGACGCUGUGUUGCUGUGGCUACUGCAUAGGCCAGAAGCUAGAGCUCCAAUUUGACCCCUAGCCUGGGAACAUCCAUACGCCACGGGUGCAGCCCUAAAAACAGAUUAAAAAACAAAAACAAACUAUGGUUACCAAAUGGGAAAUGUUGGGAGGAGAAAUAAAUUAGAAGGUUGAGAUGAACAUAUAUGCACCACUGUACAAGAUAGAUAAGUAACAAGAACUACUGUACAGCACAGGGAAAUCUACUCAAUACUGUUUAAUAACCUAUUUGAAAGAGAAUCUGAGAAGGAAUGGAUAGCUAUAUAUGUACAACUGAUUCACUUUGCUGUACACCUGAAACUAAUACAACAUUAUAAGUAAACUGUACUCCAAUAAUUUUUUUUUAUUUUUUUAAAAGGAGUCCUUUCAAAAGAAAUGUUGGUUCCAGUGGGGGAAAAACUGUAAUUGUAAUGUAUACAUGUAAGGAUAACCUGACCCCCUUGCUGUACAGUGGGAAAAUAAAAAAAAAAAAAAGAAAGAAAUGUUGGUUCCAGCCCAGGAACGUGUUUCCCAUCAAAUGGAAGGCCCUCAGUGGAGCCCUUGGGUCUAACACUUCCUGGGCUGACACCACAUCUCACCCCACAGGACCAGAUUUUUUUUCUGAGCUGCCAGUGAUAUUUUCUUUACAUCUUCAUCUCUCACUCAUCACACCACACACCCACCAACAUGGUGUGUAUUUCCCCUGCAGGCUCUGGACCAGGACAUGGGGUUGUCCCUGGAGAGCAAACUCCCCAAAUCAGGAGCUGCGUGUAGGCGCGGAUGGCCCACGUAGACAUCGUUGGCCAGCCCCAUGGGAAAAGGGGAUCUUUAGCCUCUGCUCCAUCUUCUCCCAAAGAGGCAAGAGAUGUCUUAACUCAUCUUUAGCAGCUCACAAAGAUGAAGAAAACCAAGGUUUGAUUGGAUAUCCCAGGACAUUAUGGCUUUUCUUUUCCAGUACCCAUUUAAAGCCACAAAGAUCCAGUGUGACUGGACAACCCAGGGGUCACACACAGUCCAAGAGUCAUCAUAUGGAUAAUGACCUGGGCUGGGCUGACUGUUUUCUAUCAGUGAUUAAUUGCAUGGUCAGUGAAUCUGGACUUCUCCUGACCUGGAGAAUGGGAGGGGGCCAUGAGUUGGAUGAGGUUAUAAAGAGUAAGGGAAGUUGGGUUUGUUUUGUUUUUAAAGAAAAAGUAUUUUGUGAAAAGGAAGAAGAGAGUAGCUCUAAAGAGUGGGAUCCCUGAUGUCUUCAGCCUGGGCUGAAGUCCUCUCAGCUCUAUGCUUGCUCCUGACAUAUUCUUGGGAAGGUGCCCACUUUAUCUGUGCUCCUCAGUGUUGUCAUCAGUGGAAUGGGGAUGGCAGAGGACCUACCGCCUAGGGUUACUGCGAAGAUUACGUAAUGCCUCUGAGGCACUUAGCAGAGCUAACUCCAUGUAGCAACUGCUCAUCAAGUUAUAGUUUCUGGGUUUAUUUUUUGUAAAGAAAGAAGCCAAAGGGCGUGUGUCCAAAGAAGACAGGCUACUGAUCCUGUGAGAAAGCAUUAAAGGCAAGGCAGGAGAGGAGAGAAUGUUUCAGAGCUGGAAAGAACAGCGGAAGCAAUUACCAUGCUGGGAAGAUAGUUUGGGAACCUGGGGGUGUCCAAAAUUCACAGGAACAUUGGCUAGAGGACUCUUCCGUGGAAUCCAGGAGACAAUGGGCUGGCCGAACUGUGAGCUCUGAGAGAAGCAUUUUUACCAGAGAUAGAAAGAAGCCCUGAACAGUCUGGCAAAAGUUAAAACCCACUGUUUCUCCAGGAACUAGGAAUGGGCAGAAGUUGAAGGCAGCAACAGGAGCCAGAGGCACCCUCCCAGCCAGCCUAAGGAAGUGCUUGCUGACCACAAGGGGAAGGCAAAGAAAGAACAUGGGGAAAGGCUAUUUUAUGCUCUAAGUGCAUGCUAAGCCAACUGAACAGACUUGUGCUUGCCGGAGGUGGGAGGGAGUGGGAUGGACUGGGAAUCCGGGGUUACUACAGGCAAACUCUUGGAAUGGAUAAGCAAUAAGAUCCUGCUACAUAGCACUGGGAACUGUAUCUAGUCACUUAUGAUGGAGCUUGAUGGAGGAUAAUGUGAGAAAAACAAUGUAUAUAUGUAUAUGGGACUAGGUCACUUUGCUGUGUAGUAGAAAAUUGACAGAGCACGGUAAACCAGCUAUUUGGAAAAAAUAAAAAUCAUUUUUGAAAAAAAGAAAAAACAUCUGAAGCCACCUAGCUUCAGCUUGAAUUUACAAAAGUAACUAAGGCCCUUUGAGGGGAGUAACUGCGUGUUGUGGUUUCAGAAAGUGCCUGCUGUGUUGGGAUCAUGCUGAGUGCAGUCAACAGAGGGAACGAAGUAUAGCUGGCCCUUGAAACAACAGGGGUUUAAAAUGCUCGGGUCCAUUUACAGGUAGAUUUUUUCCAGUAGUAAAUACUACGUAGCAAUAUGUGAUUCGCAGAUGGUUGAAUUGGAGGAUGCUGUACCGUGGAUAUGCAGGAACCACGCGAUAAGGAGGGCUGGCUAUAAAUUACAGGCGGAUUUUCAACUGUGCAAAGCGUUGGCUCCCCCUGAGCCUCUGGGUUGUUCUAGGGUCAGUGUACUCACUACCAGAAGAGAGAAAGUGAGGAAAACCUGUGCACCCAGGGAAGAGGGUUUGAGAUGAAAAGCCCACCCCCCAUCCCUUUUUGAUGAUUCUGGGCAGUGGCAACAACAACAACAACUAAUAACAAUAAUAAUAAUAAUAAUAAUAAUAACUGAGAUGAGUGGCUAUAGAAAAUGAAACCUUCAGUGUGGGGGCUCUUUGGGAGAACUCAGACCAAAGGACAUCUCACGUAGAUUUGAUCACCCCAAAUAUACCUUCGGUUUCGGUGGAGGUUGAAAAGUCACAAGCCUUCCAGGUAAGGUAAGUAUGGAACCCACUGAGGGUAGAACAACUGGGUGUGGGGCAUGCUGGCCAACGGGAAGGCGCCACAGAAGGGAAUUCGCAUUCGAUUUUUUAAAAACACUGCCCUUGCCAAAGGAAACACAGAAGUUGGCCCCAUUUCCAUGUCACCAGUUUGCAAACACUGUUCUACAUGAUGUUAAAACAUAAAACAUGUUCACUGGCUUGAAGGCUAAGUGAAACAUUUUGAGUUUAAAAAGUUUAUAUGAAAAGUCACUUUCAUUUUUAAAGAUGACCCCAAUGGAAGAGAAAAUGAACAGUCCUGAUGUUUUUUUCCUCCACAUAUUGAUAAAGGUGACAUUUUAACUUUUACAUGAGAUGGUAUCUUUUCCCCCUUGGGGGAAAGGAAGAAAUAUUCUUUGUCUCUGGAUAAAGAGAAAUAUCCUUUAUCUCUAGUAAUAAGUGUGGUGUUUGAAACAUGGUACAAACGGGCCUUAAAUGUUUGUUGAAUGAGUAAAUGGGGUUAGAAGAAGAGCAAAGCACUAGCCUCUCUUUUUGAGGUUAUAAAACUGAGGGAGUGGACCUCCAUCUCUAAGCCUCCUCUCUCCCUUCAGGAUUUAUUUUUAACAUCAAAUGUCUUUGUAGGAGGCCAAAGCCCUCAGCAGUCAGACCUUCCUCAUCUUAUUUCUCCUGCAGGGAACGGAGAACACUGACAGCCUCCCAGGAACCGUUACUACAGAUCUCACUGCCCAGGUGGCCUUGAAGCCACCUGAGUACUUUGCACUUUUGGGAAUGCGGCACAGGAGUUUCAGAGAUCAUGCUGAAAACUCUUCUAUCUCCCUGACUUCCCAGCUCUUGAGGACAAAGUGGAAGUGUCUGUCCCACAGAAUCGUGAGGAGGAAGUAAUACCUACAUGUGAAAGGCUUACAGUAAUGCUUGGCUCAUAGGAAGUACUCCGUAAGCUGGGCAUGUCAUUAGCAAUUAAAGGAAUAGUGGUGCAUAAAUUUUUUUAAUGGACCUCAUUGGGGCAGGGGAUGAGGUAGAACAAAUCA
rnacentral:lncRNA from 1 species